rnacentral:rRNA from 1 species
GACGUAGGGGGCGAGCGUUGUUCGGAAUUACUGGGCGUAAAGCGUGCGUAGGCGGACUUAUAAGUCAAGGUUGAAAUAUCCGGGCUCAACUCGGGGCACGGCCUUGAUACUGCAAGUCUUGAGUCAAGUAGAGGGUAAUGGAAUUCCCGGUGUAGUGGUGAAAUGCGUAGAUAUCGGGAGGAAUACCAGUGGCGAAGGCGGUUAGCUGGACUGUAACUGACGCUGAGGCGCGAAGGCUAGGGUAGCAAACAGG